AUUGCAACUUUUUUAUUUUUUUGGAUAAAAAAACAAGCAGAUCAAACACCGAAAAAAUAAAACGAAUCUCUUUCCUCUUGAUGUGUGUGUGUUUGGGUGUGGCGAAUGUCACACCUUUUUUUG
rnacentral:sRNA from 1 species